rnacentral:rRNA from 1 species
CAGCCGCCACGGUAAUACGUAGGUGGCAAGCGUUGUCCGGAAUUAUUGGGCGUAAAGCGCGCGCAGGCGGUUUCUUAAGUCUGAUGUGAAAGCCCCCGGCUUAACCGGGGAGGGUCAUUGGAAACUGGGAGACUUAGAGUGCAGAAGAGGAGAGUGGAAUUCCAUGUGUAGCGGUGAAAUGCGUAGAUAUAUGGAGGAACACCAGUGGCGAAGGCGACUCUCUGGUCUGUAACUGACGCUGAGGCGCGAAAGCGUGGGGAGCAAACAGGAUUAGAUACCCGCGUAGUCCCUGUCUCUUAUA